CCGUACCUCCAGGGUUACAAUGAUAUUUUUAAAGUGCUUAGUUAGAACAGCACAAGGGAUCGUGCACGAGACGUUUGGAUUUUAAGAGUGGAAGACUUCACUUAAAUGAAGGAAGAAAAUGAUGGAUGCAGACUGCAUUUCAGCAGGAGUGAGGGAGAAUCACAAAGAUUUAAAUGCAAACACAACGGAGAGUUUCGUUGGCCUGGAGUACCAGUCUCAGCAAAGGAACCUACACAAGCAUGCUCACAGAGUUAAGUCAAGAGAACUGGUUGAUGUCUUUGAGAAAGACAAAUCCUCGGCCUAAUCAGAAAUGCUGCACAGCUGGAAUUUCUAAACAUCUAAACAAGAUUUAUUGGGUUCAUGGCUGCGCGUUUAAAUGCCACACUGGAAAAAAUGGCAAAAUAUUAAGCUUUUAAUGGUCUUCACAACAAAUCAUUUUUCAGGAAAUGAGCAUGAAUUAAACAAAUAGUGUAGAUCCCUCCCUUCUCUAUCAGUUCUAGUUCCAUUCAGGAUUUUAUUAUCUGUUCGUUGACGGGCUGCUUCAGCAAGAAUGAUAUAUUUUGUGUUCAUUUCACCUCAAUCAUUGUAACCAUCAAGAAAAUGUUUUCCGUUUUAAGCUUUCCCCGGUUAAAUGCAGCUAAAGUAACUAGUCAAAUGAUGGCAGAGGAGGUCUCAGAAGCGCAUUUCUUUAAUUCGUGCUUAUUUUCUGAUUAAUCAUUUGCUGUAAAGACCAUUAAAAGCUCAAUAUUUGUCAUCCAUACAGAAUAACAACAGGAUAUGGCUUUAUGCAAAAUCUAAAGUACUGCUAUGUGGGUCGCACUGAACUCGCAACAGCUUACACACACGUUACAGAGGAUGGUUAAUGCCUGGAGGGAACCUUUGGAAUGAUAUCAUGUUCCAUUUAAACUUGAAGGGACCUUUUGUCAGAAAUUCUCAACUGAGUGAAGUGGUACAAGAGGAAGGGUUUUAAUCACUGGAUAUAAACAAUACUGUUUGUUCUGCUAUAACACUGUGCAGUGUUCCCUGAGCAAGAAAAAACAAUGACAUGUCAACUCUGUGUUAAAAAUAGAAAUGUAUCCAUGCACUUCAUGUUGUUUUAACAGUUCUCAGACACUGAUGAUGAACUUAUCAUGUGAACACAAAUGCUUCCAAAAUAUUUAUAUAUGUAAAAUGAGUGAGACAUCAAAAAUAAUAAUAGAUAUAAUAGCAAAUGCAUUUUUGCAAUGAAGAAAUGAAUUAAUUCAUCUCCACAUUGAUUACAGUAACAAUUUUGGUUCCCAUUUGUUGUACUGCAGUUGUUAAAUGUGCUCUAAGGUACAUAACUGAAUGACAAUCUGACAACUUGAUGUGGUUAAACUCCCAGAACCAUUGUGUACUUUUUAUGUACAUUGCUUAUUUCUGAUUCUGUUUUUUAAAUAUUCGUAAGUAAUAUUUACGUCAGAAUUUAUUGUUAAAAUGAAUUUGUUUUUAAACAACAUUCUAAAUACAUAUGUUUAUCUUUAUACAUGACUCUGCUUAAAUUAAUGCAAAGCAUAUGUGCAGGUGACUACUGAAAAUCUGUAUUACCAAAUGAAAUAAUGAGAAAUGCAUAAACAAUAUUUUCUUAAAAAUGUA